rnacentral:sRNA from 1 species
CCAUUUAGGUUCGAUUCGAGCGCAGCGAGAAAGCGUUGCCGCAGGCAACGACCCGAAGGGCGAAGCGCGCAGCGCUGAGUCAUCCUUCCCCCACCACCA